rnacentral:rRNA from 1 species
GUUCCUUGGAAAAGGACAGCUGAGAGGGUGAGACUCCCGUCCGCCUGGUAGAGUGAGCCAUUUGUCAACGAGUCGAGUUGUUUGGGAUUGCAGCUCUAAUUUGGUGGUAAAUUCCAUCUAAAGCUAAAUAUUGGUGGGAGACCGAUAGCGUACAAGUACCGUGAGGGAAAGAUGCAAAGAACUUUGAAAAGAGAGUUAAAGAGUACCUGAAAUUGCUGAAACGGAAGCGAAGGAAACCAGUGUUUGUUUGUUCAUAUUUCCCUGGCCACUUGUGGUUUGGGCGCUGUGGGCUUGCGUGGGUUUACUUUGGUUGAUCCCUUUGGAAGAGCGCAGUCAGAGUUGAUGUCU